UACAAUAUCCCAUUUAUUUUCCUUCUGAUCUGCAUAAAGAAACAGUACUUACUUUUCACCAAAUUGUUAUUACCCAUGGAAACUUGCACAUCUCUGUGGCUGUGGGACACCUUUGAUGAGGGGCUGACCUCAGAGCUUUCAGAAUUGAAUCUCUGUGGAGCUUCGAUGGCCGGGCAGCAGCUGGCUGCCUCCUGCCUGGGACUUCACAACUGUUACUAUUAACCUAUUUAACAGAUUGGAACCAGAGGCUCAGAGGAACAUGGUGACUUGGGCGACUGAUGUAGAUACUCAGAAGUGGCAGCUCUAAGACAUCACCUUCCCAGCUGUCCCAUUGACCACAUCAUGAGGAUGCAGCACUUCCAAGAUGUGGAUCAGUUCCUGUUUUGUUUCUUCCCUCUGUAACACACUUCUGCAACGAAUGCCACAGAUCCCUGUAGAGCCAUACACUUACGUUCUGUGCGCUUUUAAGGGAGGGUCAAAUGGAGAGGAAGAGAGAAACUCAAGCUGACUCUGUGUUAAGCUAGGAUCCCAAUACAGGGCUUGAUCCCACGACCCUGAGAUCAUGACCUGAGCCAAAACCCAAAAGUUGGAUGCUUAACUGACUGUGCUACCUAGGUAUCCUGGGAGUGCUUGUCUCUACAUCUCCAAUAAUGAGUACAGUGCCAGGUAUGCAAAUCAAUCUUCAGAAAUGUGUGCCGAAUGAGACAUAAAAAUGCACAGAUUGUCCCUCUUUUGUAAGCAAAAACCCCUUCCCAUUGACUGUGAAGCACCCUUACCUGGCUUUGGUCCUCACCACUUCAGACAGCUAGAACUCCCCUAGGGCACGGCCCUGCCUCACUCCUGGGUAACCUCGAAGCUUAUCAUAGGGCCCCUGCAGACAUGUCCUGGUUCUGUAAAGAACCAUGCCCUUGGC